CCUACGGGAGGCAGCAGUGGGGAAUAUUGGACAAUGGGCGAAAGCCUGAUCCAGCAAUGCCGCGUGAGUGAAGAAGGCCUUCGGGUUGUAAAGCUCUUUUACCCGGGAUGAUAAUGACCGUACCGGGAGAAUAAGCCCCGGCUAACUCCGUGCCAGCAGCCGCGGUAAUACGGAGGGGGCUAGCGUUGUUCGGAAUCACUGGGCGUAAAGCGUACGUAGGCGGCCAUUCAAGUCAGAGGUGAAAGCCCAGGGCUCAACCCUGGAACUGCCUUUGAAACUAGAUGGCUGGAACACGGGAGAGGUGAGUGGAAUUCCGAGUGUAGAGGUGAAAUUCGUAGAUAUUCGGAAGAACACCAGUGGCGAAGGCGGCUCACUGGACCGUUGUUGACGCUGAGGUACGAAAGCGUGGGGAGCAAACAGGAUUAGAUACCCUGGUAGUCCACGCCGUAAACGAUGAUAACUAGCUGUUGGGGCUCUUGGAGCUCCACGUGGCGCAGCUACGACAUUAAGUUAUCCGUCCGUCGGGUAGGUACGGCCGCGAACGGUUAAACGUAACGAAGAAGUAGACGGCGUGAGACGCGCCGACGGACGACGACGAGGGAGUAGG
rnacentral:rRNA from 1 species